UCCCAGAUGGCUCAGUGGUAAAGAACCUGUCUGCCAUGCAGGAGAUGUGGGUUCAAUCCCUGAAUUGGGAA
rfam:Ovis aries breed Texel chromosome 2, whole genome shotgun sequence.